UACGUAGGUGGCGAGCGUUGUCCGGAUUUACUGGGCGUAAAGAGCGCGCAGGCGGUCGUAUAAGUCGCGUGUGAAAGCCCCCGGCUCAACUGGGGAGGGUCACGCGAUACUGUUCGACUCGAAGGCAGGAGAGGGAAGUGGAAUUCCCGGUGUAGUGGUGAAAUGCGUAGAUAUCGGGAGGAACACCAGUGGCGAAGGCGACUUCCUGGCCUGUUCUUGACGCUGAGGCGCGAAAGCGUGGGGAGCAAACGGG
rnacentral:rRNA from 1 species